GGGUGAGUAACGCGUGAGGAACCUGCCUCAAAGAGGGGGACAACAGUUGGAAACGACUGCUAACACCGCAUAAGCCCACGGUGCCGCAUGGCACAGAGGGAAAAGGAGCAAUCCGCUUUGAGAUGGCCUCGCGUCCGAUUAGCUAGUUGGUGAGGUAAUGGCCCACCAAGGCGACGAUCGGUAGCCGGACUGAGAGGUUGAACGGCCACAUUGGGACUGAGACACGGCCCAGACUCCUACGGGAGGCAGCAGUGGGGAAUAUUGCACAAUGGGGGAAACCCUGAUGCAGCGACGCCGCGUGGAGGAAGAAGGUCUUCGGAUUGUAAACUCCUGUUGUUGGGGAAGAUAAUGACGGUACCCAACAAGGAAGUGACGGCUAACUACGUGCCAGCAGCCGCGGUAAAACGUAGGUCACAAGCGUUGUCCGGAAUUACUGGGUGUAAAGGGAGCGCAGGCGGGAAGACAAGUUGGAAGUGAAAUCUAUGGGCUCAACCCAUAAACUGCUUUCAAAACUGUUUUUCUUGAGUAGUGCAGAGGUAGGCGGAAUUCCCGGUGUAGCGGUGGAAUGCGUAGAUAUCGGGAGGAACACCAGUGGCGAAGGCGGCCUACUGGGCACCAACUGACGCUGAGGCUCGAAAGUGUGGGUAGCAAACAGGAUUAGAUACCCUGGUAGUCCACACCGUAAACGAUGAUUACUAGGUGUUGGAGGAUU
rnacentral:rRNA from 1 species